rnacentral:rRNA from 1 species
UACGUAGGGGGCAAGCGUUAUCCGGAAUUACUGGGUGUAAAGGGAGCGUAGACGGUGAAGUAAGUCUGGAGUGAAAGGCGGGGGCCCAACCCCCGGACUGCUCUGGAAACUAUUUGACUGGAGUGCAGGAGAGGUAAGCGGAAUUCCUAGUGUAGCGGUGAAAUGCGUAGAUAUUAGGAGGAACACCAGUGGCGAAGGCGGCUUACUGGACUGUAACUGACGUUGAGGCUCGAAAGCGUGGGGAGCAAACA